AGGUAUCAGGAGUAACGCCCUGAUUGAAAAGGGAAUACGGUGAGAAUCCGUAACAGACCCGCUGCUGUGAGUCCGCACUACGCUUGAAACAGGAAGUAGUGUUGUUCGCGAGAAAAAGCCACUGAUACAGGUCAACUGUAUUGGGAAGGUAGCGAAAGGGGACAAGUCAGAAGACCUGCCUAUUGUU
rnacentral:ncRNA from 1 species